CGACCGGGUGAGUAACACGUGACUAACCUACCCUUGAGUGGGGAAUAACCUCGGGAAACCGGGGCUAAUACCGCAUAAAGUCCAAUGGCUGAGAUGCCGAUGGACCAAAGGAGCAAUUCGUUUAAGGAGGGGGUCGCGGCAGAUUAGCUAGUUGGUGAGGUAAUGGCUCACCAAGGCAUUGAUCUGUAGCCGGCCUGAGAGGGCGCACGGCCACACUGGAACUGAAACACGGUCCAG
rnacentral:rRNA from 1 species